GGUUGUGGCAGUUGACUGCGGGAGGAUGAAACCCCACUAUAUAAAGUAGAAGACAUCCAACUUGGUCUCCGGAAAGGUUCAGAAACGCCAUCCUAGUCAGCUAUCAACCGAAACCUCCAUCCUCAAACUCUUGAGUAAAGAAUGACGACCUUGAGUGUGAUACUGCUGUUCACCCUGCUGGGUGUCCUGUUAGCAAGUCCGUUCAUUGACCGCCUGCAGCAAAAUGCUAAACAACAGGAGGCUGAAGAGAAGACCAAGGACCAGCCUCUUCAAAUGAUGUAUAGAAUGUUUUGUGGCUUGAGUUGUUUGCCUCAUUAUCAAAAAG